AGCAGCACUGGGAGCCCCCGGAAGGCAGAGAGCACGCUGAGUCCUCAGAGUUGGGUGACUUGCUGCUGUGAAUCAGUGAAAGGGUCUACAUGAAGAAGUUAGCUGGAGAGGAGAUGAUUGCUGGAGAAAAGUCCAAAAGCACUUUGAGGACAUGAGGCCAGCUCAAAGCUGGGGUGUUGGAAUGGUGGGCAAGUCAGGAGUAUAAAGGUGACCCGGUUUGC
rnacentral:lncRNA from 1 species